GGUCGUAGGUUGGCUGUUCCUGAGCGUGAGGAAGGGCCGGAGUCGUGUCUGACGGUUGGACUCGGUGUGUUUGUCCAACCCAGCGAUUCCGUUCUAUGUCUGCAGCCCUUCCUCCGAGGCGCGGAGGGCAGAAACGCUUCGAAGCUCCCGGGCGGCCGUGGGAUGGCAGAGGAGGGGCUGUCUGGGAGGCGCUGUGUGCAGGUGUUCCCUUCAGGGGUGGGCGGAACGACCGUGUUCUCUCUCUCUGCAGUCAGGAGGUGGAAGGGUUACUUUUUGCUCUUGCACAGUCCGCAGAACCAAGUUUCUGUCAGUGGUCCCAUAGCCUUUGAUUUGAAGGAAUGCGUGUUGUGGCGAACUCCGCAGGGAGUUUGAUCGUGUGUGUUCGAUCGGCUCUUGGAUUCCUUCUCUGAAGUGGAGGUUACUCUGAAGGUGCUAUAGUCCUGUCCCUGGAGGUAGAUGUUUAUUUUUCUAUCCCACCCUUUUUGUAAGGCGAGGCCAGAUGGAGUCGUAGCCUCUACAUCUCAUAGCAGAGAGACAACAUAGAAUCAUAGAAUGGUUUGAGUUGGAAGGGACCUUAAAGACCAUCCAGUUCCAGGCCGGGGCAGGGACACUUCCCGCUGGGUCGAGUUGCUCAAAGCCCCAUCCAGCCUGGCCUUGAACAUAUCCAGGGAGGGGGCAAGAUCUAAAUCUUCCCUCCUUCAGCUUAAAACCAUUACCCCUCGUCCUGUCACUUCAGUCCCUGGUAAAGAGCCCCCUCAGCUUUUCCGUAGGCCCCUUUGAGUACUGUAAGGCUGCUAUGAUUUCUCCACAGAGCCUUCUCUUCUCUAGACUGAACAAUCUGAGUUUGUCUCUGCCUGUCCUCAUGCAGGAGGUGCUCCAGCCCUCUGAUCAUGCUCCUCCGGAUUCGCUCUAGCUAUGCUGAGGACUUCAGAACAGAACACAGAACAUCUUUUUUCCCCGAGUUUCAAGAGCAGGUGUUCCAAACAUGGAUGUAGUUAUCCCAUGUAUAAUGCUAGAGCACACUUUCUUUCCAAAGUGAGGAAUUUUAUUCCUCAUGCCAGCCAGCUUCUGUUUGUUAGAUUAUUGUUUAUCGGUCUUUUUAGAGCAUUAUGACUACUUCUGAGGGCUGGUGCAGGCUUGGAGUACCUGCUCUCUCUGCAGUGUGAACACUGACCCAAAAUAAGGUUGUUAGAGCAGGUUUGUAGGAUCAACAUUUUUCAUUAGUGAAAUUGAUUACAAAUACCCGAAGCAGAGCCUGGAUUGAAGACAGUGAGACUAGUAGAGUUCUCGACAGGCAAGAUGCGUUGUCACUGAGGACACAGGUAUUUCACAGCUUAGCCACAGGCCUUGCACCACUCAGCUGUUCCUGAUCAUUCCACUGUGCAGUCUUUAGAAGAGCUCUCUUUCAGCUUUCAACCCCAGAAUGCCGCCCUGUUUGUGACUUGCUUAUUAGGCUACUUAAGUGCAAAUAGAUGCUCUCUGAGAAGAGUAGCAUAGUCGGAGAUGUGAGCUACGGGCCCCAGAAUUACGGAGAAAGGUCAAUAGUAACACCCACAGUAAAGGCAAGCUGUGGAAAGCAUCUUAAUAGGAUAAAUGAUUUAACCUGGGUAAACAAUGAAACAUUAUUUUCUAGUCAGCUGCUGCAUGUGGCAUAAAGGUAUUAGCAGAUGGUAUUAAAAAGAUUUUUUGCCUUUCUUUCUGCAUGGGCUUUCUCUUGACCUGAUUUUUGGAGCUAGGCAGAUGCAUUAUUAGUCUCAUGAAUGAAAGCAUUUCAACCUAUUGAGACCUGUUUCUGUGUUUCUAAAAGCAAUGGAUGCAGGACUGUCUUCUCUCCCAGUCUGGCUGCUCUGUAUACUUAUCUUGAGUCCAGGUGAUGAAUUUUUAACCUAUUGGACCUGGAGAUGUAAAGACAAAUUUAACAACUUUGCUUCUUCCCCUUUCCCUGUUAUUUCAGGGUCAUGAAUUAUGAAUGUAUGUGGGGAGUCUUGCUGUGUUUCAGUGAUUCCAUGCUGAGAGAUGAGUCUUUAUAAUGUCACCAAAGAGCAGCUCCUGUGGAAGGCCAUUCUUCAUGCAGGCAUGAGCCUGAUCCUAUUUAGAAGGGGUCAAAACUUGUGAUGCUACAGUUAAAUGCAACUGGAUUACUGCAGUGCAUAAGCAUUUUAUAAAGGAAGAUAGCAUACACUCUUUUAUGCUUAUGUCACCAGAAUGGGCAUAAGAAAUAAAAUCAGUACAAGUUCUUCAGUCAGUGAUUCAUCAGCAGUUAUGUUCUGCUAAGUGUACUGUUGUCACGGAAAUAACUGCCUUGAAUGACAAAAGCUCAUAUAUUGCCCUGAACAAAUUGAUAUUCAGUGGAACGCUUGACAGAGUAACCCCAAAAAUAAGGUAUUGUAAAAACUGCCAGUAUAUCUUCGUAACUCUCUAGCUAGGCUUUAGUUACCCACAAAACAAUGAGAAACAGCCUGGCCUUGAGUUUAAAAACGAACAUCAACAGAGCAAACUAUUAUUUUUAAUUCAUUUGAAAGCCAUAAAAUUAUUCAGUGUAAUCAUAUUAAAGUUUUAAUUUGCCUUUCUGCUAACAAUAUUCAGAAUUUUGAGAUGACCUAGUUUAAAGCUGCAAAUAUGAUACAUGUUGGUCCUUUACUGAUUUUUGAAUGCAACUUUAUAUAGUUACUUUAAGCCAGUUGUAGCAGGCUGCAUUUGGAGUGCACCACUGGAAAGCUUGUCAUUCCCAUUCAACCAGUUAAUGCUCUUGCACUGUACACAUUUGUAUCACUAUUCAUCAGAAAUAUAAUCUCUUGGAUCAUCUAGUAUGUCUUUUUGGAGUUGCAUCUUAGCCAUUCCUUGUUCCGAUUUUCUCUUUUGUUGUGGUUAGGCAUGCAGGAUUGUUACUCUGGAAAGUUUGGUUCUAUCUUGAUUUUCCUCACUAAUAUUACACUACACAAGGCUCUAACGACUCACAUGUUGUACCUUGGUUACUUUGAAGUACCUGUAAGUUCAUGAGAAAAACCCAGUGCAAUGGGAUGUUAUUUGUUCUGGUGUUUGCAUCAGUUUUAAUAUGAUAAAAUUAUUCUUGAUUUAUAUUUAUGCAAGAUCAGAAUCAAGCCUGGUAUAUUCUAACUUGUUAUGAUUUCUUUGCUGAAAAGUCACAUUAGCUUGUAAUUUUUUGAAUACUACGGUAACAUGCACAAACUAAUAUCAGGCUCACCUAACUUAAAGGCUCCUUGAAGAGGUAAAUGGCUAAGAGUGGAACUUAGAAAAGACAGUGUACUUAGUGGAGACCAGCAUGAGAGGCUGCAAUAGGAAGUAGCAGAAAUAGGAAACUUAAAUAUUUUAGUCCAUAUACUUCUGAGAGGCUUAAGCAUCUAAGUCAAAGGCCCAGGAAAGUAUGUAUUCUUGAAUUCAGAGAUCUGAGCUGCCUUCAGGACUGAAAUGCACAAGCAAGAUAAUUUUUUUAAUAGAAAGAGAAAAUGUUACAAUGAACAUGGGUUAAGGACAAAAUUAUUAUAGCCCAGUCUUGGGUAACUCAUCAGAAAGGACAGUCAGGUUCUAGUCCUGCUGGUGGUGAGUGUGCAAAACAGUUUCGCAUAUGUAAGGACUAAAAGAUGUCCACACUGGACUCUGUGACCUCAUGGUUAGGGCACUGCUGAGGUAUUGUGACAGAUGUGUUUCCCUCAGGCAGAGACAAGAGUUGAAUGCAGGUCUGCCACAUCCCAGUGUAGUAAGAGAUCUAACCACCCAGGUAUUAGUUGAAAGGUGGUUCCCGUACACAGCCCUCGCUUUGUUUUCAAAAUGUGGUCUGCUGGCAAUGGAUGCAGUGCAACUCAAAACAAAGUCCUCGGUGGAAGGAGAAGAGCACAGCUAUGAGGAAGACUGGCACGUGGGUUCACAAGUUUCUGGUAUCAGUCUCACAGAGUAUCAGCAUCUUCAUGGAUGGCUGGGAAAGGGGGGCAACCUGGAAGCAGCCUGGUUUGCUACACCCCUUGUUGCCGAAUCAGCUGGAGAGCAGGAGCAGCCAUCAAGGCAGAUGCAGUAUAUCUGAGUGUGGAAUCACCUUCACCUGUGCAUCACAGGGCUACAGAAUGGGAGCUGAAUGAGAGCCUUCAAGUUUCAGUUGCUACACAAACAAAUAUGAUCUUCAGAUGGAGUUAACAAAGAAACAGAGACCAAGAAUGAGCGUGAGUGGGGUGAGGAGCAGUGAAGCCUCACAGCGUGGAAAGAUGUGAAAAAGGCCCAACAGCAGAGAAUAAGAGGAUGUGAGCUGUGCUGUGCUCACAAUGAAGUCACUGGGAAUUUUGCCAUGAAAGCAGAGCUGAGUUGUUCUUUCAGCAUUUCAGUAUCCAUCCCCAUAUUAUCUAGGCGCCACCAUAAGAUUAAGAAGCUCUGCAGUGACAUUCUCAACAUGAUCUGUUCAAAGGUCAUUAGUAGAGCCUUUCAUACCGGAAAAGAUCGGAGGAGAGCCUGGAAGUGAGCCGCAGAAGGAGAGAAAAAGGAAAAGGAGGUGGCCCAGUCCUGCUUCCGCUGAAGCCGGUUGCUGUAGUGUCUCUGAUUGCCGUGAGUGCCCGCUGAAGACAACCUGAGGAACCUGCAUUACGGAAGGCUGGCCCUGGCCCUGCAGGGCUCAUCAAUGCAGUCUGUCGCUACUGUUUCAAGAAUUAUACUGGACUUGCGCCGGUGCCACAGCUGCAUCACAGCAGUAUAAUCCUGAGGCCAGGCAGCAGCAGCCCAGGCUCCGGGAGGAUGUGUUUCAGCAGAGCACCGGGCACAUCCAAAACCUUAAAGGUUUGGGGUCUCAACCCAGCCAUCAUCAGUACUCCUAACAAUAGGCACAAAACCAUCUUCUGCCACCAUAAGUGGUCAUCGAUAACUCAACAGCGAGAAAAUAGUCCUGCUCGGAAGUUAUCUUUCUUCACAGAGCUGGCACAAAAGCUGGCUUGUGUGCUGGUGAAGCAGAAGUGGCUCUGGUCCAGGCUGCAUUCCUUUAAGCAACCCAACUCCUUGAUAAUUACUCGGUUUUUCGUAAUUCUACUCAUCUUGUUGCGCCAAGUUAUCCCACAGAUUUUAUUCUGCUCCUCGUACAUGUAAAUGUUAGGCAUGUUUAAGUAUCUUAAUAAAUUACAUUCUAGGUUAAUUUUCUGGCCUUUUUUUAGUUCAAAAACCAACAGAGGCAGAAUCUAUAUUUUACCAUUCCAAGUUGGACACCUCGGCUCAGAGAAGUGUGGCAAAUCACUGUCAGAAACAUCCGCCCCCGAGUUAUUGUCAGGAUGGCAGAGGUUGAGGAAAUUCGCAAAACAAUGCUUCUGCGAGUCAGCCACCACUGCUCUCCUUCUGCUUCUCAAACCGGCUCCAGGCACUUUCUCUUGUUCUUUUCAUUCCCUUCCUGAAUUACUUCAGCCAAGUAAUUGUUUCAUCAUGUUGCACAGAAAUAUUUUCCCAUCGUGUCUCCGUGAUAUUCAUUUCUAAACCCAAAGCUCUGCCGCUCGCUUAUAGAAAAUAUCUCGCACAACUUUGGUACAGCCAGAUCCCAGGGGAGCUACCGGAGGGGGGAAGACAGCAGGUGAGGCGUUAGAGGGACUUCGGCAUUGUUGGAAGGAGACUGUGAUUCCUGUUACUCUAAUUUCUAGACAACAGCAAUGAGCUGUUUACCACAGGCUUAAUGAAUGCUGUUGCAAUAUCCUAGCAAACCCUAGGUAUUUAUAGAAAACAAAAAAGCCGUUGCACUUGGUUUGUAUGGGGAUAGGGACCUCGGCAGCUCUUAACCUCUGUCAAAAAAUCAGUUCUUCGCUCUGGCAUGAUGUGUAAGGUGUGUGCAUUCGAGCCCACCAAAACCAGGUCUGACCUGCCCAGCACGGCUAUAGUGCGAGUUCUCAAAGGAUUUAUUCUGCAGAUUGUAUGAAAUGACGAGACCUAACAAAACCCUCCGAUUUAAAUACCCUGAACUCUGAGAAAGUGCUUUGACAGCUCUGUAAUGUGUGAUACAGGAAUCCCAGAGGCAAGAGCAGAUAGGAAAGAGCAAGGAGAAAACUGGAUGCAGAUCAAAGUCUUCCUUAGCUUUUAAUUAGCAAGAAAAUAUUACUGGCGUUUAUUAUUAUUAUUAUAUGAAUAAUUUUAAUACAUAAGUUAGUGACAAUUUUAAAACAAAUUAGGGUUAAAUUUGGUGCUGCUCUGUGAAAUUGUGGCAGUGAGUCGGAAACUUUGCAACUAAAUGUGUCCCUAUUGUAAUUGCAAAUCAAUUAUCUUCAGCAACUACUAAUACAUUUAUCCUCGUUUUGAAUUCCAGCUGUAUUGUUUUUUCACAUCCCAACAGAUGUAACCACCAACAUUUCUAGAAGGGAAGGAAAGCCUUUGCAUCAAAACAAAACAUUCAAACAAUUUAGCAGGUGGGAAAAUUAUCACGAAAGGCAUUUUGGUUUCUGGUAGUCUCCAAUAGAUCACCCUGAGCAAAUCAGAAUUGUGGCUGCGCCAAACUGGAGAGCUCUGCUUUCCUGUGGCUCCCGAGGAUUGGUGCGCUGGCGUCAAACCCCAGCGAGGGGCUCCUGGAGGCCACGCUGCCCCUUCUAGGAUCAUCUCAAAGAGAAAUUCUCUUGGAGUUUUGCAUCAGGCUAACACCACACCAGAAAUUUCACAUGAUCACAACGCCAAUCCAAGGCUGUAUCUAAUCCUUUUGUUUAUUUACAUACUCACCAUAGAUUGUGCUGCUCCUCUGUCCAGGCUGGGGCCAAACUGUCUCAAUUACUCUGAAAGAAGCAGGAACCUCGGAAUAGUAUCCAAGUGUAGCGCUUCUACCAAGGAUUAGCUUUGUGAUGCAAAGAUUGAACUCUCAGGCUAUGUUUUGGGUCCCACCAAACAGUUAAAUAGAACUUCAUUCUUUCAAUGAUUCUCUCAUCUGUUCAGUGAUUAUCUCUCAAAAGUGAACUAAUUCCCUCACAUAUACCAUGUACAGUUUAUUGACUGAUGAAUAAAACUAUUCGGAAUUUGAACUGAAAUGUUUCCUUGGGAGUAGUUAACUAAUAUUCCUAAUUUUGUUUGGAUUUCCUGAUCAAUGUAUUUGGACUCUUUCAACAUGCGUGCAUAGGUUUACAUUUUUCUUCACAUUUGUGUAUGAGGUAUGGCCUAAAAUUCUGACUGUUAGGAAUUAGUGUAGACCUAAAUACAAAAAAGGCUAACACUCAGGACAGCAGUAAUGAAUUUUUCUUUUUUUUUUUGCAUUAGCAAUCAGUAGCAAAAAAAGUUAGAACAAAAUUCAUGAUUACUCUCUGCCCACCAUACAAUCAUCUCUAUCUUGUACAAACUGAAUGCAGAACUCUGCCAUUCCAGUUUGGUGGUGCUUUAGAUUUACUUUGUGUUGGUAUGAAUGACAGGAAAAUGCACAACAAUGCUCAUUGUAUCUUAAGUGACAUCACUACAAAUAACAAAAGAUUUUUAAUUUGGCCUCGUAUACAUUUUCUCUUUAUUAAAGCAGGUACGGAGUUGCAAUGACUUUUAUUCUGCUCACAGCUAAUGAAACACUGCUUGAAAACGACCUAGUAUGAAAGUACCUCAUUUUCAUACACAUCCACAUCAAUGACAGUUGUUGUAGCAAUGAAAUUGUAAAGAUAAACAUUGUGCACAAAGCUUUUUUCAGGCUAUAAUUUCAGUAUCUGAAGGCUAUUGCAGAAUCUCAAUGAGGGAAAAAAAACCCCAUACUGUUUUCAAAUGUGAUCAAGUCUCCUGUCCAAUAACCCUUUGCGGCGUGUGCACCAUUCGGAUGAUUUUAUUUGCUAGAGGAGAAGCAAUUAGUAUAGACACAAGCCUGAAUUUUCCUGCAUCUUCCAAGAGUCAGGAGAAGAGUGAAAGCAACGCCACACAACGUCAGAGCUGCAUGGGGCUUUGAGCAGAUAAGCAGCGAGUAAUAAUUUCCAUUAAUAGAUAAAAGAACUGUUAACAAAAUUAUAAUUGUAUUUAACUAUUUUGUUUUAAAACCAUAUAAAUGAUUCUUUUUGCAGAACUAAGCGCAACUGAAUUCAAACACCUAACAAAUGAGAAAACAAUGCUG